AUACGGAGGGUGCAAGCGUUACUCGGAAUCACUGGGCGUAAAGCGCGCGCAGGCGGCUAUUUAAGUUGGAUGUGAAAGCCUAUGGCUCAACCGUAGAACUGCAUCCAAAACUAUUUGGCUAGAGUGUGGGAGAGGAAGAUGGAAUUAGUUGUGUAGGGGUAAAAUCCGUAGAGAUAACUAGGAAUACCAAAAGCGAAGGCAAUCUUCUGGAACACUACUGACGCUGAGGCGCGAAAGCGUGGGGAGCAAACGGGAUUAGAAACCCUAGUAGUCC
rnacentral:rRNA from 1 species